CCACCGCUGGCGGUCGGUUGUUCGUCUAUAUAAUUUCAAAUUGCUUUGUUCAAUAUCACAGUCCAUCCUGGUGUCGUUGUUUUUGUGUGUUGUUUUUUGUGUGCUGAUCGACGAUCGAAAGAUAGGAAUGGGUCCUACCGCUACGAUCGAUCACCGACUUUUUAACGGAGGCCCGGAGGGCCGAGUGACUUAUACCAUUCGAUUCAGUUUGUCGAGUUCGACAAAUGUCUGUGCGUGUGAUGGUGAGCACGAUCACGCAGAAAAUGUCGAUUUUAAUAAACUCUGCAAUUAAUGUAUAAAGGUGAAAAUUUUUCCAAAAUAUGACCACAACUGCUUCGAUUUGUAGUAUUAGGUCACUAACAUCCAUUCAAAGUCUUUUUGGCCACAUUGGCCACCAUCAUCGGUUCCGGAAGCUCCGGCGGAAGAAUCCAAAUUCAGAAUAACAGUCACAUCGGUUUCUCGGAGAUGGCUGGACCGAUUCAACCAAACCUAGUCUCAAAUGAAAGGUGUUGCGCCCCCGUAAAUGGCUAUUUAAUUUCAUCCCGAUCCGACUUCCGGUUCCGGAGUUACAGGUUGUGGCGUGCGAUCACAUAGCAAAUUGCGAUUCAAACUGAUACUCCGAUGAAAGCAAAAAAGGUCACCGACGGCCAACCAAACUUUCGUUGACUACAUUGACCACCAUAGACGGUUCCGGAAGUGCCCGGGAAAAGCGGCCAUCUUUCAAAAUUGACGAACUCACAUCAGUUUCCCGGAAAUGGUUGGGCCGAUUUUCACAAACUUAGUCCCAAAUGAUAGCUAUAAUAUCCCCGCAGAUGCUUAUAAAAUUUCGUACGGAUCGCUUAUAUGGUUCCGGAAAUAUAGACUAAACCGUCCGGUCACAUAUGAAAUUCCCAUAUAAGCCGGAACUCAAUUUUUUUUUUCAAAGGGGGGACCUCAUGAAAUUUCAGAAAUCGAAUUCGUAUUUUUGAUGCCAAACAUCUUUAAAAUGCAUGAAACGUCGAGAUUUUAUGUUAUCUCGAAAUUUUUUUUUAUAAAAAUCGACUUUUUUGGACUUUUUUCUUUUUUUAAUUAAAUAUUAC